CUCCCACACCUGUCCCUGAUUGUCAAUCAGGACACACCUGUCCUUGUUUGGAAAUCAGUGUGUUUCCUCUGGACAUAGCUGGAUAGUCGGUGAUUGGAACCUCUGCAGGUUGGCAUCCUAAAUCUGGCCACGCUCACUUGGAGGGGAACCACUGUCAAUGACAACACACAGACUUUUCCACACAGUCUGCACUUUUAAUAGUUGGAAUGGGAAGGGUGCGUGAAACAUCCAGUCAAAUGUUUCUGUGCACAAGCUGACGGAUGAAUACUGCAUCCAACCGGGGGGAAAGAAAGCAUGAGCUAAAUAUACAGAAGAAGAACUAGUACUUCCAGCACAAAGGAAGAGUGAGACGUUGGAGCAGAUGGAAGCGGAGAGAGUGAGGUGAAAGUGACUCGAAGCUGCAAAAUGUGGAACUUGGAGCCAAGCUAUUUCGACAUAAAUGGAGUGCUUACCCAAAUAAACCGGGGGAAAAAAACGCCUUCCUCCAGCUGGACCUAACAGACAACUAUCCAUCGAUUUUCAUCAAACCCACGCAGAGGACAAUUCGGGGAAAAAAUGAAGGUUUUCAUUAGGAUUAUGGAGCGUGUUUAGUGGGAGGAGCGUUAGUGAAGUUGACCGUGGAUGUGGGUCAUGAAGAUGCUGCUUGCCAUCCCAGAGGUGCUUUUUGGAUGAUGGGCCCGCUGCCAGCCGGGCUAUUUCAUCAUCAGAUGUUAGCGUGCAUUAUCAGGGAGGCGGCGGUCCGCCAGACAAGUUGUCAUCGAGUCCAAAGCGCACACGCAGAUUUGCAGCUCACCUUAAAAACGCAAGUCUGGGGAAUAAAUCCCAAAAGUUUUAAUGCACUCUUGAACUUUGUAUGAUGAAUAAAU